CUCUCUCUCUUUCCUCUGUACGGAGGAUUUGCAUUUUGGGUUGCAGACCCGGUGCCUCGGGGCAGACGGUGGUAACUCCCUCCCCUCUCAAAAAUCUCUGAUCGAAGGUUUUAAAAUCUUCAACUUGGAUACAAGAUUUAAUAUAACAUGAGCACUCGGGGGGCCAGGGCGCCACAUGCAAGAGGGCGGCGAAGAAAGAAUGAGUUGAACUUGGACCUCAAUAGUGCCCCACCUGGUGACAGUCGGGAACAGGAGGGAACUUCAACUCAGUCAGUGCCUCAGAAUAAUCAAGCGACUUUGCAAGUUCAGCCCAUACCACCUAAUACGAUUGAUGUUGAGGCUAUUGAUGAUGAUGUUAUUGAAUCCAGCCCCACGGCUUUUGCUGAGGC